rnacentral:rRNA from 1 species
GAUGAACGCUGGCGGCGUGCCUAAUACAUGCAAGUCGAGCGAACAGACGAGGAGCUUGCUCCUCUGACGUUAGCGGCGGACGGGUGAGUAACACGUGGAUAACCUACCUAUAAGACUGGGAUAACUUCGGGAAACCGGAGCUAAUACCGGAUAAUAUAUUGAACCGCAUGGUUCAAUAGUGAAAGACGGUUUUGCUGUCACUUAUAGAUGGAUCCGCGCCGCAUUAGCUAGUUGGUAAGGUAACGGCUUACCAAGGCAACGAUGCGUAGCCGACCUGAGAGGGUGAUCGGCCACACUGGAACGGGGACACGGUCCAGACUCCUACGGGAGGCAGCAGUAGGGAAUCUUCCGCAAUGGGCGAAAGCCUGACGGAGCAACGCCGCGUGAGUGAUGAAGGUCUUCGGAUCGUAAAACUCUGUUAUUAGGGAAGAACAAAUGUGUAAGUAACUAUGCACGUCUUGACGGUACCUAAUCGGAAAGCCACGGCUAACUACGUG